GACCCAUAACGUCAUAGAGUCAUGAAGCUUUAUUUCUGUAGGAAGAGAUUCUAGCUUGUGAUAUUUUGAAAUAAAGCUUGUGAAGACUAAAGACUCGAAAGUUUGGUCUAAGAGUAAGCACCACAAACGUUGUUUCGUUACUAGGAAAGUGAUUUUGUGAGUUUCUGGAUUCAAUCCUCAGUGCCACCAGAAAAAGAAAAAUAGGUCUUGAAGUGGAUAAAUGCUCCAGGAAUUCUCUUUGUUCUGCAUUUUAGGGACACUUGGAAUGUUCACAAAUGCUUCAGGAUUGUUAGUUUCUAAACAAAAUCUUGCUUGGAUUUAUUCAUUAGGUUUGGAAGAAUUUAAGAUAGUAUUGAUUCUACUAACCCAUGGUCACCACUAUCUAGUUAUCUAGAUUAUAUUUGAUGUCUCUCAAGGUUUUAUAAUUCUACAGGUAGAAAUUUGGCACAUCUGCAAUUAAAUUCAUCUCUUUCACAUUGAGGAAUAUUUUGUAAACAGUAUUUUAAUAUUUGGAUUUUACUUAGACAGACUAUUGAUUUACAGAAGUCUUGGAAAGGGUACAGAGUUUCUUUACACACCUCACCUGAUUUUCUUCACAGUUAAAUGUCUUCCAUUAGCCUCAGCAUGUGUGUCACAAGUAAGAAACCUAUAUAAGUUCAUUAUCACGAGGCAAAUUUCAGGUGUGUGCAGGUUUCACUGGUGGGAUUUGACUUUAUUUUGUUUGCUUGGUUGCUUGAUUUUUGGUUUCUCCUACUAAUGCAUUUUUUUUUGGCGCUGGGAUACCAUAUAACAUUUAGUCAUGGUGUCUUCUGACUCUUUCCUUAUCUUUGAACAUUUUCAGUCUUGUGUUCUGUUUUUGUAUGACCUUGACAGUUUGGGGAGCACUGGUAAGUUAUUAAUCUUCUGAUAAGCAAAGGGAGAGAGAGAGAGAGAGAGAGAGACAGACAGACAGACAGACAGAAUGAGUAUGUUCAUAACACAGAGCCAGCUUGUUGUGGUGCUCCGAGAAUGGCUGCCACAAACUGCUAUCUUUCUGGGUCUCAGUGGCUGUCUGUGACUCUCAGUGUAAGCGUAUAAUAUUCUGAGAAUUAUGUCAGCAUUUAAAAAUGCAAGCAUUUUGCCCACCAUGUGCACCAAGUGCAGGCCAGCACAUCUCAUUAAGGAUUCAAUAAAAGUAACCAAGAUCAUUUGCAAUCCUGGAAGAAACAACAGUGUUAAUCUUCCUGCAUGAGGAUAUAUCAGUAUUUUAUGGAAGGUAUAACAGCUUUUGCAGAGACAAAUUUUGUCUAUGUGGGAUUUUUGUUCACUUGCUGGUUUUAUAUCAUACAUCUCACUUAAAGCCCAACUCGAUCAUUUGCCACAGAGAAAGACAGGCAUUCUCUGUAGCAGCAACAGAGUCUGCAAAUGAAGGUGACUGAGUGGUACAUGGACACUUGUUCAGGGACUGGACAUAAGAGAGCUCUCUCAGCUAAACUCAGUCCAGUAAUCCACUUUUAUUCACAGGGGAUAUGUUGUUCCAAGGCCUUCAGUGGAUAUCUGAAACCUCAAAUAGUAUCAAUCCCUAUAAACACUGCAUUUUUAUUAGGCACAGGAAGAAAUAAGAAAUAAUAAAAUAGAAAAAUCAUACUAAUGUACUGUAAUAAAAGUUAUGUGAAUAUUAUAUGUCUCGCUCUUGCUCAAAAAGUGUGACUUGAACAUAGAACAGUGAAAUUGCAACAGCCCAUCUGAUAACCAGGACAGCAACCAAAUGACUAACCGGGGGGUACCAUAUACAGCAUGGAUACACUGAACAAAGGUGUGAGUCAAGUUCUGCAUAGAGAGGAAUGAUAUGGCGUAAAGUUUCAUACUAUUCAGGAGGGCAUAUAGUUUAGUUUUUAUGAAUUGCUUCUUUCUGGAAUUUUUCACUUAAUAUGUUUGGAGUUGGUUGACAGUGGGGAAUUGAAACUACUAAAAUCAAAGCUUCAGAAAACAAGUUUAAUACUGUAAUAUAAUAUGCAUGAUUUAUCUUCAUGUUUGGAAACAUUGCCAGAGUCAUGAUUUAAAGGAAAAAAAAAAUGCUUCACUUUUAAUGUCAUGACAGAAGAUCAGUGGGCUAGAAGUCAGGAGAUACAAGGGCAACUCUCAGCUUUGCAGCUGAUUAAGAGACGACCUUGUCACUUACUUAACAUGAGCAUACCCUAUCUGUAAAAUAAAGACGCAUUUAAAAUGGUAUGUUUUACUCCCACUGGACUAUAGGGAAUUAAACAGAUUAAUAGACUUUGGAAAAAUAGCCAGUGCACAGACUGGCAGCUAAGUACAACAGAGAAAAACCUUGGGAUUAUUAGCUCUAUAACCUGAGUUAUAGAUAAAUCAAUACCUCUUAGUAACACUGCUAUGUUUGCUGCUUUUCUCACGGUAACUGAACAUUCAUUACGAGUCCAUCUGAAGGAGGUCUCUGGACAUCGAUGUGGUCUUUUCUGUAACAUGCAGUCUGAGUUUUUGUCUGCUCUUUUUCACUUCUGGAAGGAGCUGGUCACAAAGACCAGUUCUUUUUGUUCCUCUUAUCUCUGACAUUUUUGCACGGGUUUUGCCCACUAUUCUACUCUGCAAAGGAGUCUCAUACAAGACUCCAGCUGGCAAUCAUUUUCCUUGGGCCUCUCAGCUCCAAACUCCUCCUCCUGCAGCCCAUCUUCACCAGCCCACUUCGCAGAACCUGCCAAUAGGGGGCGCUAGAGAAGAGUCCCUUUUUUUGGACAUGGCUUGGGUCUAUCCUAUCAUUUCUGGAGCCUUCUGUGUUCUAAGUCCUUCUCCAAAGGUAUUAUCACCUUUUCCUCAGCAUCCGUCCCUCGGUCUUUUAACACUCGAGUCUCUAAUUCCUACAUUCAAUCUUACCCAUCUGAAAUUUCUGUGGGUUUUCUGUGUUCCAGAUUUAUCCUGCCUAAUAAAAACUGGUUCUCCCCAAUCUCGGGACAUCUUAUUCUUUUAGAAGGUAGUUCAGGAAGCACUUCACACGAUUCUUAUUUUGAGGAAUACAUUUUGUGAAUAUUGUUACAUUUUACAAAUACUCAGUGUCUCCUGUGGGACCCCACACUACACCACAGGAUGAUCGCACUGGCCUUUUUCACAGGAAAGGGUGUGAAUGUAAAAUGCUUAUUGCAUGAUUUUGAAAUAGAGUUUAAUUUCAUUUAAUAGCCCACCCUUGGUGACUUUCAUUAAUAAGAUUAUAUACUAUUGGAAGUAGCAUCAUAGGUAACAAAUGUAUAUUCCCAAAAUGCCAGACCAAAAGAAAACAGAUUAGUGCAUACAUGCGUAUAUGUGAGCACAUAUCAUUUUGAAAUUUUUGCCCAUCAUUUUUCAUGUUCCAGGAAUUACAUAUAUUUGCUUUUGUUUCUCUAAACAUAUAGAAAACCAACAAAUAAACAGAAGUGACUGGAAAACAACGAUCACUCCCAAAUGGGAAUAUUUAUAUCGCUAGUAACUCCAUUCUUUGGAGUACUUGGCCAAUGGGACUCCAAGUUAUCACCAUUUUAAGAGAUUUAAAAACAAGACUCAAUGGGAUUAGUGACUUGCCUGGUCCACCUGGGCAGCAAGCAGCAGCUGGGCAGACUUGACUUUCCGUUACUGUGCACACACCAUCUCCUGCUUCACAGGCCGCCACAGGGCUCCUCCUUGAAAGAAUGCAGCUGUCCCUUACAACCUGAAACGGGCACCCAGCCUCUGCUUUAGUGAGUUAGGACUCUGUGAGUUUUGCUUUUCUUUCUUUGACUUUCCUCUCCCCUGAAGAAGAAAGUUAUUUUCAAACCUCCAUCUGUUUUGUGUUUAAUGUGCAGAAAGGUUGCACAUUUUCAGGGACCUUGUUCAUAAGCAGUAGAUUGUACAACAGUUUAUUACACAAGUGGAGGUUUUUAUUGCUGGCCUUUGUUGACUUGCCAACUGGGAGAGAGAACACAACGUGCUUAGCGGUCCCUAUCAGGAGAAAUGAGAGAGCAUUAAAUACCAGUCAAAUCAUCAAGCAUUGGAAGGCUGGUAAUCAAAUCCAGAAAUUCCUGGAGCUCAGCUGGUGAGGAUGAUUUUUUUAUUAAUAUUAUUUUUACAACUAUCAUUGUUUCACGAGUCACUUAGGCCACAGGACGUUUCCCAAACAUUAUGUGGGAAGUGUAAGCAAAGGCAGAAUAAAUGUUUGAUCAGAAAAGACCCAAUUCCACUUCAAAAUCCUGAUCAAUGCAGGACAUCAAACUAUAAUUCCAUGAAAAGCUUUAUAUAGUCAAGUGUGUGUGAAUGUAUGUGUGUGUGUGUGUGUGUGUGUGUGUGUGUGUGUGUGUGUUUUGCAUUAUAUUAUUGAGGCCAAAAGCUAUGCAAAUGCAUGCUGAAAACAUAAUAAACCCCUUUCUUUACUUUGGCCUAUAUAUUCUGUACUCCUAAAAAGGAAUGUAUUUUACUACUGAGUUAUCCUCCAGCCAGCAAAUAUCCUUGAGAAAUCCUAAAGAAUAUUGUAUCAGCUGUGAAGGCCAGUACCAAUGGUGAUUUAUAUCUCCUUUUCCAUUUUCCAAAAAGACCAUCACAUAAAAGCUACUGAGACCCCAAAAAUCUAAUAAUUAAAUAUUUCUCAGCCUAGACACUACACCAGAUUAAUUAAAUAAAAUUUCUUCACUUGGAAAAGGAUAUCUGAAUGUUCUCAAGGUGAUUCUGAUUCAUUCCCUUGGAUUGAGAAUCUCAGAUUGAAAGUAACUGUAUCAUUUUACUGGUAGAGGGCACCGAACCUGGAGAAGUUACUGCCCACAAUAAUCCAUUCACAGUACUUUAUUUUUUCCCAAGAAGGGGUGUUCACCCAGGCAUUCUGCAACUUUGUAACUUCAGGUCCCCAAUACCUUAACACCUUGAUUUCCAAAUGCAAAACGCUGGAAACUAACUCAGUUUUCGCCUUGUCUAAUAUAUUCACAAAUAGACAAGAUGCAAACUGUAUUAGCACCAGCACCUUAGUUGUGUCUCUAGAAAUGCAAAUAAUCCUGUUAGGUGACGGGAGACUGUUAUUGUAACCCAGGGCUCCACUUCCUCCUCUAGAUGGUUCAUGGAGAAAGGAGCCAGGAUGUGACCCUUAAAUGUGACAAAUAUUCAAUGCUAUUCCUCACCAGUAGUCCAUGAUUAGAGUCCCUAUCUAUAAAACAGCCGAGUUGCAUACAUAUGGAUGGUUCCAUUAUCAAUUUCCAAAAUGUUGAACACUAAAUUGUGUGUCUACCUUACCCUACAUUAGGGCUACCAAACGUGUCCUGCCAUCACUGAAACCAAACGUGUUCAGCUGUCACCGAAAGAUCCCUUUCAGGCUGAGAAUCUCAACCCUUUCCCAGUCCAUCAGUCACAUUCUAAUUGCACCAGUGCUGUGAGUCUUAUAAACAAUGUCCUCCAUCUGAUGGACAGCUAAUACUCAGAGGGACAUUGGUCAGUAGCCUUGGACUCCUCAGCCUAAUCGCCCUGGCUUUCAUGCCACUUAGAUCAGAAUGUAAGCACUGAAAGAAUUUCAGGAAUCCGAUGAUAUAAAUUGUAUUUUUAGACCCGUGAAUGAGUCGAGCCAGUGAAACGGUUCAGGGACUAAAGAUAGUUUGCUUUAGUUUUCCCAUGAUUUAUCACAAGCAAGUUCACAGCAGGUUAAAAUAAUUGAACGCUGUGAUAGCAUAUAUACUGUCAUGGCUUUAUGAGCAACCAUUCAUAACAUAUUUGUCACAAAGCAUAAUUUCCAUGAUAGAACUCUGAUUCACAUGUGGCUUUUUUACCCAGCAGUAAAACAUUUGAAUAACUCCUUCGUGGAGGUUGGCUACGUUUGCACAAUGUCAGAUCCUAAGCUAGAGCUUCGGAAAAGGGGACCCAGGAAAUGACUAUACCACCGAGUAAACUGCCUUGCCAACUAAUAGCCAGAAGGGGACCAAGAGGAGCACCAGCCUGACUCCCCGCUACUUUUCAAGCCAAAGGAUUGGGUGCAGUCUGCAGUGCUUCCAGAAAAAGUGUCAGACUACUCCAGACAAAGAGAUGUUGGCAUAUAAGACGAAGUGAAGACCUAAAAUAAGAGGGACAGAAAGUGGGACUGUUAAUAAUCUUUGUACCUGCUGAAGAACAGAGGCAGCGACUCAUUCAUCUCUGUGGUUCAGUGUCUGGCAAACUACAGAGGAUCAGUAUUUGUUAAAGGAAUGACUUUCCUACCCUUGAUGCCGCCAUGGCUGUGUUUGAAUAAAUCCAGCCCUGUGAAUCACUUCGUUAUCUCACAGCGUGACUUCAGAAAAACUCAUCAUCACAGACUUAGUCAAAUUGUUCAAUGUAAUUGAAGAGGCAGCCCUGAACUGCAGUCCUUCACAAGACAUAGGAACAGCACUGCUCUGGGUCUUUCUUCUUGUCGCUGCUGCUGCUGUUGCUGUUGCUUAGUGAGAUAAACUCGGCAUUGUCAAGAGGGAGCAGAGUGAAGAGAAGAAUCAACUGAGAUGGCUUGGGAAUUAGAGAUGCAACAUUGAGAAUUUUGUUUGCAAACAGCCUUAAAGUCAUGGUAUCAUGCUCCAUAAGUUUUUGCAUUUACGAAAGUGAUCCUGUAAAGAAAAUGAUGAGGUAUCAGAAAAUAUAUAUUAGCAUAAAAAAUGGCAGACACUUAGUUGGUCACUAUGGAGCACACCUGUGAUUCUAGUACUUUGGGGAAAUAAAGUGGGAAAAUCAUAAUUUGAGCCCUGCUUAGGCAACUUAGCAAGACCCUGUCUCAAAAUAAAAAAUGUAAGGAAUGUAGCACAGAGCAAAGUUCCCAAGUUCAAACCCAAGUAUCAUACAGAGAGAGAGAGAUACACUUUGAAUGCAAUAAAUGUAGUAUAGAACAUAUGGAUUCGAUUCGAUUCAAAUGGAAAACUUUAAUUACAGUGCAAGUUCAAGAAGUCUUCUCAUAACUUAUAGUACAACAAACAAAAUAUGAUAAAGUAUAAAAAGAUAAAAACAGAGAGAUCGAUUCAGAAAAUGUAUCAAUUAUAUACAACAAGAUUUCCUGAGAGAUCAGAAUGUUCAAAAAAUAAUCAAAAACACAGAAAUUUUUCCUGAAUUUAAAAAAAUUGGAAUCUUCAGUUUGAAAGGAUUCACCAAGAAUUGCAUGAUAAAUAAACUGAGAAAAAUAUUAUAUAUAUCCUCUCACAAACCUGAUAUAUAUAUAUACAUUUAUAUAUGUAUUUAUAUACAUAUAAAUACAUAUAUAUGUGUGUGUGUGUGUGUGUGUGUGUGUGUGUGUAUCUCAGGUCUUUGGGGUCUAUAACUCUUUAUUUAUUUUUAUUUUUAAAAAAGUAAAACAGAAAAGAUAGAAAUGAUACAGGAUUUUUUAAAAAGCAGGAAAUUAACACUAAUUAAUAUAUUGCAUAUCGUUAUCUUAGAGGUAGGGCUCAGAGUACAAGGUUUAGGCACAAAAAAUAAGAUCAAAAAAGAAAGCUCAAGAAUUCAGACAUUUUGAAAAUUUAGCCAAAGAGAGAGAGAGACAGAGAGAGAGAUAGAGAAAGACAGAGAGAGAGAGAGAGAGUGACAGACAGAAAGAAGGGGGGGGAAAUUCCACAUCACAUUUCUCUAUAACAAUAAAAAUCUGAGAAAUAAAUUCAUUAAUUUUAGAUGAAAAAGCUCUUGUAACUAAGGAAGAUCAUUUACAUAUGGAAAAAAGUUAAACCUACUCCAGUAUAACUAUGAAAUAAAACAGAGAAAGGGCUUUCAUAGCAACAAUUAAAUGAAUAAUGUCUAAAACGAUAAUGCAGACAAAGUAUAAAUAAACUGUGGUGAACAAUAAGAACAGUAAUACUUGGACUAAGAGUUAAGUUUCAUAUUUUAAAAAAUUACUUUGAAAUGAUGUAAACACAAGAACAAUUCUGGUUAAAAAUACUGUAUAAAAAUUAAUGCUAAUUAAUAUUAAUACUUAAUAAAAAUUUUAA